UAAUAACUGUUCGUUAUUUUUCAUAGACGCCAGCAAACUUCAUGUUUACUCCAUGUGUUGGUUUAAUAAAAAUAACGAAGAAUUAAUUAUUCCCUUGAAAAUUAUUAUUUGAAUGCAUGGAUUUGAAUGUAAAUAAAUGUAAAUAAAUAAGUUUGUUUAUAAAU